UUCCAAAACACACUUGUGCAAACUCGGCCGGAAAUGUGAAAACUAUUGUUCAAAUACUUGCCGAUGAGGUUUUUUUUUGCGAUGAAACUGAAAACACUGCUGUUCCGGUUGCUUCUCAGCGUGUUGUCGUUGAUAGUGUUCAACGAGUUCGUGCUGUACUACGUGGUGCUCUUGAAGUGUCAAUGGCCUACCAAACCCGUACCGGUGAAUGGACUGGAACCGGUGAAUGUGAUGCUGUUGGCCGAUACGCACCUACUCGGACCCAUCCGUGGCCACUGGUUCGAUAAGUUGCGGCGCGAAUGGCAGAUGCACCGUACAUUCCAGUCCGCUAUUACGCUCUUCCAGCCCGAGGUCAUCUUCAUCCUUGGCGAUGUGUUCGACGAAGGGAACUGGGUGAACCAGAAAGAGUUUGAACACUACAUGGAACGCUAUCGGAAGCUGUUCCACACUCCACGCGGCAUCGCAUUGCACAGCAUCGCAGGAAACCACGACAUUGGCUUCCACUAUGCCACACGGCCCAAUCUGGUGCAACGGUUUGCCGAUCAGUUCAACAACACCGGCGUUUCGUUGAUCAGUGUACGAGGCGUUAACUUUGUUGCGAUCAAUUCCAUCGCCAUGGAAGGCGAUGGUUGCUAUCUGUGCGAAAAGGCCGAGAAAGAGCUGAAAACGAUCGAGACCAUAUUCAAGUGUGGUCGUGGAAUCGGGCAGUGCAAGGAUGUACCGAAGCUGGAGGAGUACAGUCGGCCCGUGCUGUUGCAACACUUUCCCAUGUACCGGGAGUCGGACAAGGAAUGCCAGGAGCACGAUGCACCGACCAUCCAGCUGUUUCGUGAGCGGUGGGAAGUGCUGUCGAAGGAAUCGACCGAUCUGAUCGGUGAUUUGCUCAAUCCACGGCUGGCAUUCAGUGGCCAUUCGCAUCAUUACUGUCACAUGGUACAAAAUCGGUUGAAAAUUGAAGAGUACACCCUGCCCUCCUUUAGCUGGCGCAACAAAAACGAUCCCAGCUUCAUUCUGGCACGCAUAUCACUCAAGGAGCACACCAUCGCUCGGUGUCGGAUGCCGGAGGAGAAUACCGUCGUCACCAUUUACCUCGUCGGUGGCAUUCUCAUACUGCUCGUGUUCACGCUCAAGUUGAGCGGAUUUGUGGGCCAACUGUGGUCCUAUCGACGGGGCGAUCGUCGAGAUUAUAAGAAACUUACCAAAUAACCCAUCGACUUCACCGGCUUAAUCGAGCAUCGAGUCGUGUUGUCUCAUAGUUUUAACUUCAAAGUCAGAACACAUGAGGAGGAGAUACGAAACCUGCAGCUCCAACCGUAAAUGUUUGAAUAACCAAAUAAGUCCUUUGAAGGACCUAUACCAC